CAUCCGCCAGAGAAUUACACGAGAAAAUCUUAAAACUCAAAGGACUUGACGGUGGCCCACACCACCCUAGAGGAGCCUGUCCUAUAAUCGAUACUCCACGAUACACCCGACCACCCCUUACACCCACAAGCCUAUAUACCGCCGUCGCCAGCCUACUUAGUGAUAAAAUAAAAGCAGGCACAACAGUUAACCACUAACACGUCAGGUCAAGGUGUAGCUUACGGGGUGGACAGCGAUGGGCUACAUUUUCUACCCACCAGACCACACCGUAAGCUAUAUGAAACUUUAGCAGAAAGGUGGAUUUAGCAGUAAGAAUUGACAAGAUAUGUCUAACUGAAAUUUGCUCCAGGCCGCGUACACACC
rnacentral:rRNA from 1 species